rnacentral:tRNA from 1 species
GCGCAGGUCAUAGACAUAGGGACGAGUCGAGCGCCGUCGCUUCCCAAGCUGAGAGCGCGAGUUCGAUUCUCGUCACCCGCUCCA